rnacentral:rRNA from 1 species
GGCGGACGGGUGAGUAAUGCUUAGGAAUCUGCCUAUUAGUGGGGGACAACAUUUCGAAAGGAAUGCUAAUACCGCAUACGUCCUACGGGAGAAAGCAGGGGACCUUCGGGCCUUGCGCUAAUAGAUGAGCCUAAGUCGGAUUAGCUAGUUGGUGGGGUAAAGGCCUACCAAGGCGACGAUCUGUAGCGGGUCUGAGAGGAUGAUCCGCCACACUGGGACUGAGACACGGCCCAGACUCCUACGGGAGGCAGCAGUGGGGAAUAUUGGACAAUGGGGGCAACCCUGAUCCAGCCAUGCCGCGUGUGUGAAGAAGGCCUUUUGGUUGUAAAGCACUUUAAGCGAGGAGGAGGCUACUUGGAYUAAUACUCUGAGAUAGUGGACGUUACUCGCAGAAUAAGCACCGGCUAACUCUGUGCCAGCAGCCGCGGUAAUACAGAGGGUGCAAGCGUUAAUCGGAUUUACUGGGCGUAAAGCGUGCGUAGGUGGCCAAUUAAGUCAAAUGUGAAAUCCCCGAGCUUAACUUGGGAAUUGCAUUCGAUACUGGUUGGCUAGAGUAUGGGAGAGGAUGGUAGAAUUCCAGGUGUAGCGGUGAAAUGCGUAGAGAUCUGGAGGAAUACCGAUGGCGAAGGCAGCCAUCUGGCCUAAUACUGACACUGAGGUACGAAAGCAUGGGGAGCAAACAGGAUUAGAUACCCUGGUAGUCCAUGCCGUAAACGAUGUCUACUAGCCGUUGGGGCCUUUGAGGCUUUAGUGGCGCAGCUAACGCGAUAAGUAGACCGCC